GACGAACGCUGGCGGCGUGCCUAAUACAUGCAAGUCGGACGAAGUUCUUUCACCGAAUGCUUGCAUUCACCGAAAGAAGCUUAGUGGCGAACGGGUGAGUAACACGUAGGCAACCUGCCCAAAAGAGGGGGAUAACACUUGGAAACAGGUGCUAAUACCGCAUAACCAUGAACACCGCAUGAUGUUCAUGUAAAAGACGGCUUUUGCUGUCGCUUUUGGAUGGGCCUGCGGCGUAUUAACUUGUUGGUGGGGUAACGGCCUACCAAGGUGAUGAUACGUAGCCGAACUGAGAGGUUGAUCGGCCACAUUGGGACUGAGACACGGCCCAAACUCCUACGGGAGGCAGCAGUAGGGAAUCUUCCACAAUGGACGAAAGUCUGAUGGAGCAACGCCGCGUGAAUGAAGAAGGCCUUCGGGUCGUAAAAUUCUGUUGUCAGAGAAGAACGUGCGUGAGAGUAACUGUUCACGUAUUGACGGUAUCUGACCAGAAAGCCACGGCUAACUACGUGCCAGCAGCCGCGGUAAUA
rnacentral:rRNA from 1 species